rnacentral:lncRNA from 1 species
CCUUAAAUAGAUUAUGCACUGUUGGAACCAUGAAUGUCACAAGCAACCAAGAAAACUCUCAAAAUGGGCAAUUUCCAUAUUGUACACCGGCCUUUGUAAGUGCUGCACGCGAGUCCCAGUGUGCUAUUCAUCUGCACAUGAAAGGUUGUGAGAAGCUUCAGCACGUGCUUCUUCCAGUUUCAUCACGAGUUCUCUCACAAACUCUGUAUUCGUCCCGUGAGUAACACGCAGUAUGUCAACUGCCUUGGUCAGUGAUUUGAUAGCAUUUCCUGUGUCGCCAAGUAACCUGCAGCAUGUUAAACAGCAAGCUUGAAACCAAGGGAAAUGCUGAGUACAUUCCAUAAAGGGUGGGGGCGAAUUCUGAGGCCAUUUUCAUGCAUGAAGCGACAUUAAAAUGACCAAGCAAGUCCUCCAAGCAGAUUAUGUAUUUUUACUUCCACAAGAAACAACAGAUGGAUGAACAGUUACAAAAUUCAAACGAGAGAAUUCCAAUGAAGUCACGUUUUCAACUUCAGAAGAGACCAGGAGAGGGCUUACGACAAAGAAAAUGUGAUGAACCUUGUUACAGCUAAAACAAUUCUUGCCAUUGCAAGAACACAAUGAUUGUGUUAAGAGUGCCUAAUUUUUGGACGACACACAAGCCACGGUUAUAGCUAAAACAGUUUGUGGUUGCAAGAAUGCAAUGAUUGUGUUAAGAGUGCCUCAUUUUUGGACAAUACAAGCUACGGUUAUACAUUCAUCCUGUAAAGCUGCUUUUCCAUGUCCUAAAAAUCCUCUCUAUUUCAGGUGAUGCUUUGUUAGCAUUGCUCUUUGAAAUAACAUCACUAAAACAAAUAAUAAAUUGGUGACUGAGCACACCAAUAGAUCUACAACAGAUCGCACAUUGCUUGGUCUCAAAUCUGUCAUAAGUGCAUGUAGCAUGAAUUUAUGUGAGCAACUUGUCCAACAAAGUUAAGGUGAGGGAUAUACGUCAUUGAACAAUCAAUGACUGAUGUGAAUUUCGACAGCCUAGCAUUAAAAUAUGAAAUGUGGGGGAGGAAAAGGAAAAAGCAAGGAAAAUGGACGAUAAAACUCCAGAAAGAAGAAAACACAGACCAUUCAAGUUUUCCGCUGGUAUAGUAUUGUAACCCAAGCAAAGGAUGGUACCCUGGAUAGACUCCUGCAGCAUGAAGUCAAAGUCAGGAGUUUCAGAGGGAAAAUAACAAAAAACCAGAAAAAUCAUUUCAGCAUUUCUUUUAGAUCAAAUAAAGAGACAACAAAUCUAGCAAAAAUCUUUUGCAGACAAUGAAGCAUUAUUAGUCACACAAACAACGGCACAACAACGGAGAAAAUGAAUGUGACUUCAUGUGACAAAAGCUCCUGCCAUAUGAUUGGAUAAAAUGGGAGAAAAACUACCAAGCUAAUUAUUCAACACUGGACCCCAUGCAAUCAAAUGAUUUUACUUCCAAAGUUUCCAACCAAAUCACAGCUUAAUGGUCUCAGUUGAAAAUACUCUAUCGCCCUUAUUCAAAGGAUCUAUCAAAAAUCUAGUAUGACACUUUAUCCACAAGCCCCAUGAUAAAACUUGUUGGUUUUGGCCGUUCCUCGAGAUUUUUCGAAGAAAAGCUAAAAGGAACCUAAUUUCAAAUAACCUGAUUAACAUUCUUAAAUAGAGAGACGUGAUCGCUUACAAUGAGUUUUUAGAUUAAGGGGAAAUGAAGAUAGGUGGAACCCAUGCUAAACAAACAAAAACUCUUGCCAACGGAAAAGAGGAUUGCUCAGCAGAACUUGUUGUAGUGAAGCUCAAUUGCUAUUCUAUUCAGUUAACUCAAAGAUGAAUGUUUCGCUAUUUCUCAUCCACUUAUUUCUAACUUUUAUGUGAGCAUCAAUCAAGAAUGACAUGCAAACUUGACAAAUAUCUGUAUCAUGAAUCUAUAAUUUGUAACCCUGAAUUGCUCAAAAAAUUCUGACAAUUCCCAUAAAAUUAAAAAUAAAAAUGGCAUACUUUCAUAAACUGGAAUAGUUAGCUUGCAGUACACCAGAGCUUCCUUCCAAUCUUGCAGAUCCAUCAACGUCUGCAGUUCACAAAUGCUUUAAGUGUUAAGCAACUAACAAAAGGACAAGUCAGAUCACAAUUUGGAACCACGUGAAGACUACAGACACAUUCAUUCUUCAUGAAAGGAUCAGAUAACACCAAGCUACAAUUCACAGAAGCUAGCACCCUACAGAGAAAACAUAAGAACAAGGAGGAAAAUCAACAGAGUCUAUCUGAUACAAAUUCGUUUGCAGACCACUCUUGAGGAAAAUGGAAACUGGAAUUAUUCAAAACUGUAGAAAGACAUUUCCCACUACAUGGAAAUUUGAAUACCACAAAAUUUGACAAUUCAUAUAUUUCUUAGUUUGUGGAAACUAGUUCUCUACCACACACUUAUAUAAAAUGGCAUAUCUCCUAGUUUUUUAGGGUCGAGAAUUCACUUCUGGUAGCGGACAGCAAUAAAGCAAAAUACCUUUCAAAAGUAAAACUGUUCACAACAACAGGGCUGCAGAUGCUUUUAAAAUUCUAUUAAUGAGGGAUAGAAGCUAUAAUAGGAUUAAUGAGAAAAAGAAACUGCCUUCAAUAUCUUUUCUCGGGUUUGCAACAAGAUGAUUGAAGAAGGAUGAUAUAGUUUCCCUUGGAGAUUCUCAAUCAUCUUAUAGAUGGAAACAGCUUCUUUAUGUAUUAUAGCAAGUCAAGUUUAAACAUUUCUCAAACAUGCAGCCAAAUGGAUGACUUGUUCUGAAAUGGGAAAACUAAGAAAAAGGAAGUCAUUCUAAGUGAAAUUUUACACCAUUGAAAUGCAGUGAGAGAGAUUCAGGUAAUACAGACGAUACAUUAACAUGCCGCCAAAAUUAGUUAGCAAUGGCUGUGAAGAAAGGAUACGACUAGGGGAUGUAGACGAUGACGUCCUCUCUGACAUCAAUUUAAUUUCACUAGCAAUGCCUCUUAUCUCUUCUUUUUUUCUUACACGUCCACACUGUUGGCACACAAAUCCUUGUUUCUCUGCAUACGCAAGGAAAACCAUGUGAAAAACUUAAGCUAUUCAAUUAAAGUGCCGAUCUUGAUCCACAUACCAGAGUCACGGAGCAGGAAACCAGAGCAUCUGUCAUCUUCACAUCUGUAGCCUUCCAAAAUUGCACUUUCUUUGAUAUCAUCAGGUUGCCCCUUAACAAUUAAUUUACAUUUGUUAACCCAAACAGUUAAAAAAAUGCACAUUCUCACAAGUCGACAGAAAAGAUGCAACACGAGCAAUCACAAUCAAACCCUUAAUGUAGAAAGUUACCAAUUUGGCACAGUGAGGGCAUGCACAAGCAAAGUGGUAUUGUUCUCUAAGAGACUUCAGUUUAAUCGUAGUGCUUCCAGCAGUUUCUAUAUAGCUUAUCAAGACCUUGCAGAAAAAUUAUUUCUGGUCAACAUGAUAGAAUGAAGUAUGAGCAUGACAUUGCUUGAUGCCCCAAAGUAUAUCAUACAGAGGUAUAAUCAUCAAAGCAAUCUUCUACACCAUGAUAUGUUGGAGUAAUGGGAAAGGAAAACACAAAAUAUAUCUCAAAACAAACAGCCUCAUAAUUCUGAUUCAUUAUUAUCCUACAACAAGAAGGUUGUGAACAGGCAAUUUGACCAGAUUUAUGUGAAUUAGUGCUACAUAACCCACGAUAAGCAAUUAAAUGCUUAAAUCGAUACACUGACUGGAGCAUUGCAGCUGGUUUGGUGUAGAGGUUUAGGUUCAGGGUCUUAAAGUCACCAUCACUUAAAGUUCAGUGGUUGAAAGUUUCAGCACUCAUUUCGCAGCUUCAUCCAGCAACCUUUAGUUAGGCAAUGAUGAUGAAAAGAAGGUAAGAGAUACCACAGCUAAUUAACAUCAAUUGGCUGGAAGGGUGGCUUCUCUUUAUCCAUCCAUUGGAGAAGCACGAUCCACUAACAAGAAUCUGCUGAUCAAACUCAAUAGUGAAAUGCACACUGAAUACCUUUCAUCUGGGAAAACAUUUACAAUUCCUUUUUUCCAACCUUAAUUCUUCUGAAAGCUUAUCAUGGCGUCCAGCAUUUGUUUCAGUUCCACAACAUAUUCAAUAAAAUUCUGCUGGAUUGUACUAUCAAAUUUUGGACUCAAAAUGUCCAAAGCAUAAAAUUUUCUAUUGUAGAAGGUCCAAGUCGAGAUUCCACAUCGAGGCUUUGCAUCUACAAAACCAUGAACCAUGUUUGACGACUGAUCAAAAGCAGUAAUUUUUCCUGAAACAAAUUUUUUUAAAUAUUCCUAAAUUAGAUAAGAUAUAGCUGAGUGCCAAGAAUUCCCCAUUAAUCUAUAAAAGAUCACGGAUUUCUGCAGCCUGACAUCUGAAAUUUCGUGCAGCAUAAUAUAAUUCAACAUUAAAUUAUUGGGAGUUGGACAGACUAGAAGACGCAUAAGCAAUGGUCAUCACCAUGUUGGAAUACUGGAAACGAAGUUUUCCGUCAUUAUUCCUGGAUGUCAUGUUAAAGUUCUGUUGAAAAGAUGCAACACGAGCAAUCACAAUGAAACUCUUAAUGUAGAAGGUGUUGACACCUAAAUUUUGAUUAGGUUUUUUUAAAUUAGGCCUUAGUCUCUUUCAAUUUUUGUUUUUUCUUCGGACAAUAAUAAAUAAUAAAAACAACAAAAAAUAGUAAAAACAAACAAAAACAAAAAGAAAAGCAAAAGCCCAGCCCCUCUCCUCUUUUCUUUUCCUUCACACAGGUCCGCGAGGCUCAUCCGCGACCUAACCCGGCCCGGCCCCCUCUUUCCCUUUGUCUUCUUCCGUCUCUGCAAGACACACGCGGCGACGAAGACGCGCUCAAGCACAACCUACAACAGAGAGAGGAGCGUAGGCCGGUGGCUGAGAGGACGCAACAUUGAAGGCGAGCAUGCCUCCGUGGAAGGGGGAAGAUUUGACGCCGGUUCAGCCGCACCUAGGGCUGGUCGGCGUGAGAGGGCCGACGGCCGAACCUCCGUCGACCGGCCUCCUCCUCGCCUAUAAAUAGAGGAGCACCUCCGUCGACGAAAACACAUCGCGAGCUCCGAGAUCUUCCCACUGAGAGACUUCGGGGGAGGAAUCGAAGAGCGAGCGAGAGAGGCGGAGCGUAAACGACCUCCCACCGAGAGACAUCGGGGGAGGCCGCCAGCGAGCGAACCUGCAGAGAGAGAGGGAGAUCGAGUCGCAGUCCUUGGACACCCCCACUGAGAGACUUCAAGGGGGUCCGAGGACUCGCAGCCGCGGAUCCGAGCCUCGCCGAAGGAGAAAAUAGAGAUCCGAGGGAGAGAGAGGGUAACCCGGCACCGAAUAUGGUCAGAUUUGACCGUCUGGGAUCCACCGUGGUUGUCGCCGUCAGUCUGUCCUUGCCCUUGUUGCCAUCGCUCGUCUCCGCCGUUGCUGCCUUCGAUCGAUCUAGCAUCGUUGUCGUCGCCGCCCUUGUUCGAGGAAAGGUAAAAAGCCAGUUGCCGUCACCCUUGCCGUUCAUCGCAACUGUUUUCCGCUGACCUAGCCACCAUCGCCAUCGCCGUUGUCGCCCUCGUCGUUGCCGUCGCCACCGUAGUCGCCGUCGCCGCCGUAACGCCUUGGUUCCCGUCCUCUGCGCCGUGGAUUCGCAAACCCUAGGGUUUGCGAUUUCCCGGGUCACGAUUCGGGUCGGUUCGGGUAGGGUUUUUGUAGGGGAGCAGGGUUGUGGAGCGGGUCGUCGGGCCGGGCCGGGUGUCCCCGAAUGCCCGGCCACGACGCCGUUUUUUUUUUAAAAAAAAAUUCUGAGCCCGGCCCGAGUUAGACCCAACCCGCGGAUCCGACUCGGGUUGGCUUUUUAAGUUUUAUUUUAAAUAAUAUUUUAAAUAAAUAAUAAAUAAUAAAUAAUAUAUUUAUUUUAAAAAAAUAAAAAAUGAUUUAUUUUCAAAAAAAUAUUUUAAAAAAUGUUAAAAAAUGUUUUAUUUUCCAAAAAAAUUGAGAAAAAUAAAAAAUAAUUUAUUUUCCAAAAAUGUUGAAAAAUAUUAAAAAAUAUUUUAUUUUCCAAAAAAUAAAAAAAAUCCAUUUUAUGUCAAAAAAAAUUUAGAAAAAGACCCAAAAAAAAUGUUUUUCCUCCCCCACAAGUGCAUGGAAAAUCCCUCAAACAUCCAAAACACCUCAGGAUUUAAACAAGAUUAGGUAUCGAAAGGGCAUUAGUGAUUAACUAGUGUAAUCAAGUCCCCGAUCCUAAUUUCUCUGGUUGCGCAGGAGUGAGUAUUUCUUCCGAUACUUCACUUGGGUUUCUAAUCAACCCACCCCAAAUCGAUUAGUGGCGACUCCAUUUUAAAAAUUAAUUUACAGGUUAAAAAACUCAGACUAUUAAAGUCGUGAAUUUGUGGACUUGGGAGAGUCCGAGCAUAAUUAAUUUCAGCCGAGCCAUUAGCUUCCUUAGGCGCUCGUACCCGAUUGCGGGUGCAGAAAAAAGAGGUCGUGACAGCUUCGCGACUCCGCUGGGGAUAUUUGAGGACUUAGGCAAUUUUAUCUUGUUUAAGCACUUUACUGACUUGUUUUUGUUUUUUGUUUUUAUGCAGGUCAGUACCUUAAAGGUUUAUUUUAAUUUUGGAUUGUUUUGUGAUUAUAAAUUGCUAUGCAUGCUUUAAAUAUUUAAGCACUACAUGUGGCACACACAACCCGGCCGCCGGACCUGGGUUGCCAUAGGAUAUCGAGGAUUGUGUUAAGAAAGAUACGACAUCAAACGCAAAACCGCGAUGUAGAGGUUGCUUUUCUUUUCCCCGAAUUUCUUAGCCGAGGUUAGGAGGGUAUACUGCUGACGCGAGACUGCGACGGGCAGAUAUCCUUUUAAUUUCUACAAACCUUCUCAGUUAGAAAUUGAGCCGCACAUAUCAUGCGCAUGUCUAUGUGAUUGCCAUCAAUUUUCUCGUGUGAAGUAAGUUUUUAUUUCGUGUACUUUGCAAUUUACUUACCUUCUUGUAUAUAUUGAGUAGUCCAUGAUUAGUGUAGGAUUUAAUAUCACGGUCAUCUAAAUUUGGAAGUAAUUGUCAUAAAGUUUUUUUUUAAAGUUAAAAAAAAUUGCAAAAAAUUACUUUUAGUUGAUGUUUUUAUUCUCAAGCAUGUUACAAAAUUCUUUUCUGCAAGAAUUUUCAUUUGCCUCAAAAAAGGGGAUAGAAAUCUUUUUCAAAAUUGUUGCAACUCAUGCUUUCUUCGCCUUUUAAAUUGAAUAUCUUUUUAGCUCAUGUUAACAUGUCGCGUGCCCUUUUUUCAAUCCAUGUUUAGGAAAUCCUCUACCUUUUCAUGAAUAAACAAAAAUAGUAGGAUUAGGUCAUCAUCAUGGACUAACUCCCUAUCUACGCCUUGUCUUCACACAUGCUUGUUUAUUCAUGGCCAGGUAAUCACGGAACGUCAACGUUCACCAGUCCAGACUCGCUCAAAAGCAAGAGCAAGAAUGGCUGAAGAAAAUGUACCAAGCCGUAUUGCGAUUGUAGAAAGCGAAAUGAAACAAGUCUUCAAUAUGCUUCAACAACUUUCAAAGCAAAUAGACUCCAUCCAGGGCAAACUCACUCCCGCCCCGGCCUCAAUCGAGGUAUUGUUGCCACAAUCAUCUACCAGGGGUGAUCAAGGUGGAGAGGCCGAUGAUAACGUGCCCGAAUUGGAGGAUAAUCCACACCCAAUCGCAAUUAAGAAAGCUAAGCCAGACAGUUUGUCUAAAACUGAGCAUGACAGAUGUCUCAAAAAGCUUUAGGAGAGACUGAAACAACUGCAAGGCCUCCAAGAUCCUACUUUGACGGACCUCGCCAUUUAUUCUAACGUCAAAAUGCCGGAAAAAUUCAAAAUGCCUGAGUUUGAGAAGUAUGAUGGCACGACUUGCCUGAGGGCUCAUUUGCAAAUGUAUUUGGUUCGAAUGACCCAAUACGUUAAUAAUGCACCAUUAAUGAUGCAGUUGUUCUAAUCAAGUCUAGUAGGCCCAGCCCUAAGGUGGUACAUCACGAAGAACAUGAACCUCCUCGAAACAUGGAGCGAAGUGAGUGAGGCAUUCCUCAAGCAGUAUAAGUUCAUAAUGGACAUUACCCCUUCUCGUGAGGAUCUUGAGCGUACCAAAAAGAUAAAGCAUGAAUCGUUCAAAGAAUAUACUAUUAGAUGGAGGAAUCUGGCCGCCCAAAUCAGUCCUGAACCAACCGAUUUCGAACUGAGAAAAAUGUUUAUCAAAACCCUCCCUUACGAGUACCGCAAUCGAAUGGUAACCAUGAUCGCUGAAUCAUUUAAUCAACUCAUUCCAGUAGGGGAGCAAAUCGAGAUAGGGUUGAAGGAUGGUUGGUUCACUGAACCUGCACCCAUGGGCAGGUUCAGCAUGAAGAAAGAUAUAGAACCCCUAAUAGAUGUCAAUGCGACCUACAAUCAUUCUCCAACAAUUCAGACAAGUGCAAGACAGCAACAGACCACUGGCCGUCAACCGCCCUAGCACUACCACAACAGGAGACAAUUCACUUCACUUCCCGGAUCUCCAUCACAGGUUUUGGCAAUCCUCCAGAAUAAGAACCUCCUCUUGACUGAGCCAAAGCGACCAAAUGCCGAAAACUUCUCCAGCUAUGACCCGUCCAAAAAAUGCAACUAUCACAUGGGAGAAGUGGGGCACUCGACUGAUGAGUGCUUUGCCCUCAAGAGUCAAAUCUAGAACCUGUUAGACACUAAAGCUUUCUCAUUCCAGAGCAAUUCGCUCCCUAAUCACACCGACAAAGUAAAUGCGAUAUUCAGUUCUGAAGACAGUCAGAGCAGAAAUGUCGAAGCACAUACCGCUGACAUUCAUCAAGGGCUGGUGAAGGCCAGGUAUUAUUCAGGCAAUGAAGUGCCACCCUUAGCAACAGAGAAAGAAGGGCCAGAUGACAUGACCACCAUGUUUGGAGACCUUUUCAUGGGCGCCAUCAACGAAGGACUGUCAGGGGAAAUGGGUGCAGGCCCGCUCGAGUAGAACCCUUUUUAAUUUCCUUUCGUAUUCCCCUAUGUGGGAACUUGUACAUCUUUCUUAAGUCUGGCUUGUUUUUAUUUUCAACAUCAGUUCCGCUUGAGGAACUAACUUUUGAAAACACUUUUCCAAAAUGUAAAUCCACCUAUUAAAUAAAGUUGAAAAUAUUUUGAGAGCAUCAGGCGGUAUCCCAAACCAGCCCGGUGAUGCUAUCCAACCAUGAAAAAAUUAUCAUCCAAGAAGAAUACUGAGGGCUGGGCUUCCUCAUGCUUUUUCUCUCCCAAAGACAUAUUUUGAAAAUAAAAAAUAUUAUAUCACUCAAAAACUUUUGUCAAAACAAGAUGAUAAAUUUAAGCACAUUUGUCUUUCUAACCUUCUCAUUUUAUGUUUCAGAACAUCAUCCCCUUUGAUUUAGUGUGACAAAAGGUAUUUGAAACUAGCACCUCGUGUGAACAAACCAAACUCGAGAACACAUUUUCAAGAAAGCGGGGGCAAACAAAAAGGAGCAUCCCGUUUCAAGAAAAGGGGUAAGUCUUAUUCCCUUAACAUAAUAUUGAGAAUGACAACCCCUCUCUUCUAUUUACAGGAUACAAAAGGUGAGACGUAAUAGGUACAUGCAUACAGUUGAAAUCGAAGCAUCCAUGACAUGCCUCACUCCUGCCCAGCUCCAUCCUAAGCCAAAUGACUAUAUUGUCACAUGACACGCCUAAAUAGCUAGAUGUUACAGUUUCAACUUCGACGAGCCCAGAAGCAUAAGAAAGAAGUUCCUUCUCUUCCUUUAAAGUGAUUACUGUCAACAUGGAGAAAAUCUAGAUGGUCAAGGCGAUCUAUAGCCCCACACCCUGGACAAUGACUUUGGAAUCUAGAAGCUUCACUCCAGAUGCAUAUUCUGCCAAGGAGUAAUUGCCAUCAGAAAGCUUGAGAUUUUGAUCUUAGAUUCCAUAGAAGCUUGAGGUACAUGACUUUUGCCCAAUGAUGCUAUAGUUAAAGACAGAAGGAGAAAUUCCACAGAAGGAAGGCGUUGAAGAUGAAUCAACGACUAACAAUCAUGCAUACAUGGUCACAAAUGAGGAAAGCCAACUGAAGGAUACAUUGAACUAUGCCAAGAUAAAGGGUCAUCAUCAAUAUUCAAAUAUCCUUAGGAGCUAGCACAAACAAACUUUGGGGAAGGGUAAUUCGGUAUCGUUUCCAAUACUUCUACUAUCUGAACUCACUUUUGACGUAUUUUCCCUAUUGACAAGAAACAUUGGGAAUCAAAAACCAAACUUGAUGGUCAAUAUUGGCCAAGUGAGGUUCAUGAGAAUGACCCAUAUCGAAUUCACUUGACCUCGUGUAAAGAGACAUGACAUCCAUAAGCUAAUUAAAGAGAAUAAUUAACCUGACGAAGCAAGGGACAUAGGACUUUGUGUCCCCCUCUCACUUCAAGUUCACCCAAUCAUAUGCAAACUAGUGAAGGGUAAAGUUGUAUCGCUUCCAGUUAUUCGACUCUUGAAGAGUUCAUGACUAACGCAUUCCCUCUUGUUUGUUGCAGGAUCACCUGACUGUCAAAAGCAAGGAUAACAAAUCAAUGAGAAGCAUGUCAGACUCUGAUAAGCUCUUCCAAGCGAAAUGGCUUCCUGAUUAAUCGCUAAAGCUAAUGAAAGAAACCUUUUAGGCCUCAAAUGACGUGCAAUUUUGGCCCUACUAAUUGAUCUAUCACCACAUCUUCUCUUCUACAGGGGCAAAAGCAAAAAAACCCGUCAAAUCAAUGAUCAGAUCCCCAACAUUGACUGAUCGUUCGUGUGGGACGACCAUCGAUACCCAUUUGUGAAUAACUCGUUUGAUGUUCAAAAUUCAACACAUUUGUAAGUACAAUACCACCAAGUAAAUACCCCUAAAGCUGUUAAUAGGGUUUCUUGAGUAAAAACCAUUCAUUUGUUUUGAGAAUACAAACUUUCUCACAUUUAAAAUGUUGCAUGGCUUUUCCAAAUGGAUUUUGCAUAAUGAUUUUGUCUAUCUAAAUCACUGAUUCCAUUGAGAAUUAUUAGAAUAAACAGCUAAUUGAAUAAUACAAGAUUGAUCGAGCUUGCUGGAUAAGGUACGUCAGAAUGAUGAAAGACAAGCCAUAUCCUACACACAGGGUGCGUUUGGGAACCACUUCCCAAAGCCCCUUUGAAGCCUAAAGAUACUUGGCCAAAUGCCAGCCUGUUUGGGAAAAUUUUUUGAGCCCGCAUUCCCUAAAUGCCAGCAUGUGUGAAGCCGAAAGCCCAAGGCAGGGGGGGACCUGCCUUGGGCUUUCGGCUUUUUCGGCAUGCCCAUACGGGCACUGUUCAUAAUUUUUUUUUUUUUCCGAAAUUGUUCUCACGAAUGUUUUGUUUUUCCGGUUCUUGCCCUUGUGUCGCAACUGUUCAUCUUCUCCGGGGGGGUUCGGUUCCGGCUGACUGCGAGCGGUCGGCGACUGCUAGAGGGACGCCGGCAAUCGUCGGGGGGUGGCGCGACCGGCGCCGGAGGUGGCGCGACCGAGGGCUGGGUCACCGCAACCCAGAUCUGGGGCGACAGACGGUCUUCUUCUUCCGCGAGCGGUCGCCGGCGAACGUCGCCCAGACGAGUGACGCCGAGCGAUGGCGUGACCGCCGCGACCCACGGCAAGGUCUGGGUCACUGCGACCCAGAUCUGGGGCGGCAGGGUCGCGGGAGGACCUUGCCGCCCCCGAUCUGGGUCGCGCGACCUCGCGGCCCCUGGAUCUGGGUCGCGGCGGCGUCGUGCGACCUCCCGCGACCUCGCCGCCCCAGUUCUAAGGGCGGCACGGUCGCGUGACCCCGCCGCGACCCAGAUCCGGGGCGGCGAGGUCCUCCUGCGACCUCGCUGCUCCAGAUCCGGCGUCGCUGGAGGUCGCCGAAGGUCGCGACGGCGUCGCGCAACCUUGCUGCCCUAGAUCCGACGUCGCCGGAGGUCGCCGGCGGCCACUGCCCUUUGGUCAAUUUUUUUUAAUUUUUCUUUUGAUAAUUUUUUUUUUACCACAAAGAUCCUUUGUAAGUGUAAUUCCCCAAACGCUAUUUUACUCAAAAUACUUUAUAAAGAGCUUUCAAAGUAUAAUUUACCAAAGCAUUUUGGAAAACACCCUUAACUCAAAGGUAUUUGCAUUUUCCUAAAGACUUUCCCCAAAAUUGGUUCCCAAACGCACCCACAGUCCCCAUCUAUACACUUGUGAGAUAAGUGUAGAAGAUUCCAUGACUGCAGGGUAAAGAGUUUUCUCGCGAAUGGUACAAUAACCAAAAUAGUGAGAGGCAUUUCAUUGCUCACCCCUUUGAGCCCCAUACAUUAGUGAAGCUUCUCUCAUACCCCCGUCAAGAACCACCCCACACUGGGGGCAAAUAGGAGGCGAAGCAGCAUCACAAGGUGAGAAGAGAGAUAGAAAUUUUCUUGCUCGCACUUGCAUCAAUCUUUGGGUGUUCUUAUUGCAUAUGAACACUCAUGUUAUUUUAAGUGCCCUAGAAUGAUGAAGAGCAAUUCUUUCUCUAUGCACUUGUAUUCAUUGUACAACCUAAUUGAGUCUGUAAUUUCACCAUCACAUGGAGGCAAAACAGAAGUUACUGCCAUUUAAGCAGCAUAGCCCAGAGCGUUGACUGAAGAUGAAGACUCAAGAGUCUAAAUAACGGUGCUUCGAUUGAACUUGUCUAGAUCAAUUCCUCAAACAACAAAAAUGAAAAAAAAACUAGGGGCAUAAAAAAGCAGUGUACUUGGUAAAAGCAAGGUCAAAUGCCCAUAAAUGAAAAGUUGGGAUAAAAAAAUAGACGCAUGAAAAAGCAGUGUGCCUAGUAAAAAGCAAGGCCAAUGCCCCCAGCAAAAAAUACAGUCAAUUGUAUUCCCCAGAAAAGUUGCUGUUGUGGUUCAAUUGAUAGAGCCUUCAUCUGACAGUGAGAAGAAAGACUGGUGAUAAAUGCCAAGGCAAUCACUAGCUUUCACCCUUUUACACAUGAGUCAAGUCUACAUUACAUCCCAUUGUAAAAGUCUCUUCAGACUAGGGGCACUUUAAUUAACGUAGGAUUUCAUAUGUCUAUAAGCAUCGCUCGAAGAAGUACGAGCAAGACUAUUCUAUCUCUUUUCGUAGGACUCUUGACUUGCGAACCCGGAGAUGAUCGUGCGGCACUUCGUUCAUGAGCCUUGACCUCGAUGGUCCCAUUUGAUGAGUUAUUGACCAUGUUUUCAUCACAAUUUCAACAAAGACCUCUCACAUUGGUAAAGUCGUACCACUUGCGAGAAUACUCAGACCCCUACUGAUGUGAUGACAGUGAAAAGUGUGGUCAUUAUAAAUCCUGCAUCAAUGGUCAGGAUAGUCUUUUCCAUGAGAGUGAGCGAAAAGUACUUUCAGACUGAAAGUCCUUCAUCUGGCAUGCUCAAGACAUCCGCAUUCUAAAUGAAGGUUGUCUUUCAAAAUCUUCCCCAGUGGAAUUCGAAUGAUGCAAAACUGACAAAAUUAUCAUGCAUGAAUCUCAUUUGAACUCAUGAAUUUACAACACAUACAAUCAUGUGUGCAUACCGUGCAAAUAGCAGACAUACUCUCAGAGAUCAAAGAUAUUGCCAGGUAAGCAUAUCCCUAUCCCCAUUUGUCUUAAGGUACCUACCACUGUCCGGGUACUCUCUUCUUGACACUCGACUUGUUCGAGUCGUCCCUUGAGUUUGGGUGCUUGCAACUGUCUAAGUAUCCCUUUUGUCUUUGAGUACCCACCACUUGCCGGGUAUCCCCCUGUUUUUAAGUGCCUGCCAUUACUCAGGUGCUCCCUCUAUUGACACUCGAUUUGUCUUUAAAGUUUGGAUGCUUGCGACUGUCCAAGUAUCUUCUUGUCUUCGAGUACCGGCCAUCGUUCGGAUACUCCCUUUUCAUGACACUCAACCUGCCCGAGUUGUCCCCAAAUAAUAUAGUAGUUGUUUAAGCAUUCCACUGUGUUAUGCAUUUGCAGUUACCCAGGUAUGCUCUUUUAUCAUCAUGACACUUGGACCUGCCUGAGUGGUCCCAGAUCAUAUCAUUAAAUACUUGUGUUCAUCUAAGUAUUUCAGUACUUUGUACACCUGCGAUUACCUAGGUGUUCUAGCCCUUUUGAGUGCCUGCGGCCAUCCAGGUAAGCCUUGUGCUACAUUCAAGUUUAUGUUACUAGGAGGUGAGAGACAUUCACGAAUAUGCGGGGCACGUCCUCGAUAUUCCCAAUUACCAGGAGGUGAGAGACCUUCAUAAAUAUCCAAGGUACAUCCUCGAUAUUCCUUUUACCAGGAGGUGAGAAACCUUCAUGAAUAUCCAAGGUACGUCCUCGAUAUUCCAACUACUAGGAGGUGGGAGACAUUCAUGAAUAUCCCAGGUACGUCCUCGAUAUUCCAACUACCAAGAGGUGGGAGACCUUCACGAAUAUGCGGGGCAAUGUCCUCGAUAUUCCCUUUACCAGGAGGUGAGAGACCUUCAUGAAUAUCCAAGGUACGUCCUCGAUAUUCCAACUACCAGGAGGUGGGAGACCUUCACGAAUAUCUCAGGUAUGUCCUCGAUAUUCCCUUUACUAAGAGGUGAGAGACCUUUAUGAAUACGCGAGGCACGUCCUCGAUAUUCCCUUUACCAGGAGGUGAGAGACCUUCAUGAAUAUGCGAGGCAUGCCCUCGAUAUUCUCAAUUACCAGGAGGUGAGAGACCUUCAUGAAUAUCUCAGGUACCCAUUCGAUACUUGUGAUCAUCCAGGUAUCCUCCAAGAGUUUAUGUUUGUGAUCCUCCAAGUACCCUUCGAUACUUGUGAUCAUCUAGGUAUCCUCCAAGAGUUUGUACUUGUGAUCAUCCAAGUACCCUUUUGAUCAUCCAGGUAUCCCCCAAGAGUUUGUACCUGUGAUCGUCCAGGUACCCCUUUGAUACUUGUGAUCAUCCAGGUAUCCCCCAAGAGUUUGUACCUGUGAUCGUCCAGGUACCCCUUCGAUACUUGUGAUCAUCCAGGUAUCCCCUAAGAGUUUGUACCUGUGAUCGUCCAGGUACAUCUUCAAUACUUGUGAUCAUCCAAGUACCCUCCAAGAGUUUGUACUUGUGAUCAUCCAAGUACAAUCUCCCAACAAACAGAUGCCUUGAGAAAGGUCAGCGCAUCUCCUGUCAAUGCGACCGAAGAAAGGUUCGGGUCCUGGAAAAGCAAUUCCCUAUUAAGGCGACCGAAGAAAGGUUCGGGUCCUAGACAAACCACUUAUUGCUCCAAUAGGCGACCGAAGAAUGGUUUGGGUCUUGGAGAAGCAAUCUCCUCAUGCAACAGGUAAGAUGACGCCUUGAUACUUGCCAAAACUCGGGGUUCACACCCUAUCUCACUCAUUCCUGGUAAGUAACUAUAGGUAUCUUCUUAUCUGUCUUAGUAUAUGUAAUGUUAUAUUGCUCAUUUUCUGCAUAGGACACUAGGUCCUAAAUAUCGUACAAUCUAUUGCAUAUGUAUAGACAAAAUUUAGGUAUCAGGUUUAUCUUUGAAUGCAACCUCUGCGAACUCACCUUCAAAGAAGGGCAGCUGUUGACACCUAAAUUUUGAUUAGGUUUUUUAAAUUAGGCCUUAGUCUCUUUCAAUUUUUGUUUUUCCUUCAAACAAUAAUAAAUAAUAAAAACAACAAAAAAUAGUAAAAACAAACAAAAACAAAAAGAAAAGCAAAAGCCUAACCCCUCUCCUCUUUUCUUUUUCUUCGCGCAGGUCCGCGAGGCCCAUCCGCGACCUAACCCGGCCCGAUCCCCUCUUUCUCCUUUGUCUUCUUCCUCCCAUCUUCUUCUUCCUUCCUCCUUCUUCCGCCUCUGCAAGACACAUGUGGCGACGAAGACGCGCUCAAGCACAACCUACAACAGAGAGAGGAGCAUAGGCCAGUGGCUGAGAGGACGCAACAUUGAAGGUGAGCAUGCCUCCGUGGAAGGGGGAAGAUUUGACGCCGGUUUAGCCGCACCCAGGGCCGGUUGGCGUGCGAGGGCCGACAGCCGAACCUCUGUUGACCGACCUCCUCCUCGCCUAUAAAUAGAGGAGCACCUCCGUCGACAAAAACACAUUGCGAGCUCCGAGAUCUUCCCACUGAGAGAGACUUCGGGGGAGGAAUCGAAGAGCGAGUGAGAGAGGAGGCGGGUCGUGAGCUUAAACGACCUCCCACCGAGAGACAUCAGGGGAGGCCGCCGGCGAGCGAACCUGCAGAGAGAGAGGGAUAUCGAGUCGCAGUCCUUGGACACCCCACUGAGAGACUUCAGGGGGGUCCGAGGACUCACGGUUGCGGAUCCGAGCCACGCCGAAGGAGAAAGCAGAGAUCCGAGGGAGAGAGAGGGUAACCCGGCGCCGGAUCUGGCCAGAUCUGACCGUCCAAGAUCCAUCGUCACCGUCGUUGUCCGCCGCGGUCGUCGUCGUCAGUCUGUCCUUGCCCUUGUUGCCAUCGCUCGUCUCCGCCGUUGCCGCCUUCAAUCGAUUUAGCAUUGUCGCCGUCGCCGCCUUCAAUCGAUCUAGCAUUGUCGCUGUUGCCGCCCUUGUUCGAGGAAAGGUAAAAAAGCCAGUUGCCGUCACCCUUGCCAUUCAUCGCAACUGUUUUCAGCUGACCUAGCCGCCAUCGCCAUCGCCGUUGUCACCCUCAUUGUUGCCGUCGCCACCGUAGUCGCCGUCGCCGCCGUAACGCCUCGGUUCCCAUCCUCUGCGCUGCGGAUUCGCAAACCCUGGGUUUGCGAUUUCCCGGGUCGCGAUUCGGGUCGGUUUGGGUAGGGUUUCACAGGGGAGCUGGGUUGUGGAGCGGGUUGUUGGAGCGGGUCGUCAGGCCGGGCCGGGUGUCCCCGAAUGCCCGGCCACGAUGUCGUUUUUUUUUAUAAAAAAAAAAAAAAAUUCUGAGUCAGGCCCCCGUUGUGGGCUCGUCCGCAUUCGGGUCGCCGGCCCGGGUCGGACCCAACCCGCGGAUCCGACCCGGGUCGGCUUUUUAAUUUUUAUUUUAAAUAAUAUUUUAAAUAAAAAAUAUUUAAAAAAAAAUAAAAAAUGUUUUAUUUUCCAAAAAAAUCGAGAAAAAUCAAAAAUAAUUUAUUUUCCAAAAAUGUUGAAAAAUAUUAAAAAAUAUUUUGUUUUCCGAAAAAUCAAAAAAAUCAAAAAUAUUCCAUAUUUUCCAAAAAAUGCCAAAAAUCCAAAAAAAGCAAAAAAAAUUCAGAAAAAGCCAAAAAGACUUGUAUUUUUUCAAAAAUACCAAAAAAUCCAAAAAAAAAAUCCAUUUUAUGUCAAAAUUUUUUUAGAAAAAGACCCAAAAAAUGUUUUUCCUCCCCACAAGUGCAUGGAAAAUCCCUCAAACAUCCAAAACACCUCAGGAUUUAAACAAUAUUAGGUACCGAAAGGGCAUUAGUGAUUAACUAGUGUAAUCAAGUCCCCAAUCCUAAUUUCUCUGGUUGCGCAGGAGUGAGUAUUUCUCCCGAUACUUCACUUGGGUUUCUAAUCAACCCACCCCAAAUCGAUUAGUGGUAACUCCAUUUUAAAAAUUGAUUUACAGGUUAAAAAACUCAGACUAUUAAAGUCGUGAAUUGGUGGACUUGGGAGAGUCCGGGCAUAAUUAAUUUCAGCCGAGCCAUUAGCCUCCUUAGGCGCUCAUACCCGAUUUCGGGUGCAGAAAAAAGAGGUCGCGACAGAAGGUUACCAAUUUGGCACAGCGAGGGCAUGCGCAAGCAAAGUGGUAUUGUUCUCAAAGAGACUUCAGUCUAGUCGUAGUGCUUCCAGCAGUUUCUAUAUAGCUUAUCAAAACCUUGCAGAAAAAUUAUUUAUGGUCAACAUGAUAGAAUGAAGUAUGAGCAUGACAUUGCUCGAUGCCCCAAAGUAUAUCAUACAGAGGUAUAAUCAUCAAAGCAAUCUUCUACACCAUGAUACGUUAGUGGUUUCGAUUUAAAAAAAAAAAAUGUUGGGAUAGCAAAUUUUUAAAAAUCAGACUAAAUACACGUGCAACAUACGUGCGAUAUACGUGCAACGUACGUGCGAUAUAAUUUCUCGAAGAAAAUGAUGGGGUAGAUGUGUUAGGAGCCCACGCAUCUUCCCCAUUGUCUUCCAGCUCUAUCUCGUGUGCUCCCAACACAUCUUCACUGGCCUCCACAUCAUCUUCUUGCCGGUCGACUAGUCCCAACCCAUCUUCCCCAUUCUCUCAUUCUUCUGCUUCAUUGAACAUCCGCAACAAGAAUGUCCGGUAGCUAUCAUUCAUCCCAAAUGGUUCUUCAUUCUCUUAUUCUUCUCCUUCACUAAACAUUUGCAACAAGAAUGCCCGGUAGCUAUCAUCCGUUCCAAAUGGCACUCAAUGUCCAUGACAGCUACUAUAUGGAAUGAAAAGUCGAGAGAGCAAAUCGGUAUGGACAUAGGAUAUGGAUAACUAUGCAUAAUACACAUGAAAAGAGAGGAAAAUAUAGUUUUAAGGAUCGACUAUUCUCAAAUGAAGCUAUUCAAGGUAAGAUCAGACAAGAUUAAAACAAAAGGAUGAGCACAACAUCCCGAAACUAGACAUAGAUCUCGCAAAUGAAAGAAGUCUCUGCUUUGAAGAAUCGGCACUUCUCAAAUAGACCGUGCAGUCUUCCGCAUUACAUUGGGACAAGCUAGGUUCCAUCGCCCCAAAAAAAAAAAAAACCUUCAUUAUCUUGCCUACUCCCGCCAUGAUCAUUUUUACACGUUAGUUGUUUCAAUUUUCCAAAAAGUGUUGGGAUAGCAUCAGACCGAAUACAUGUGCAAUGUAUGUGCGAUGAUGAGCCACUACGGCGAUUCUGACAUGUGGAAAACUAUGAAGGCAACCUCGAGUAUAGCUGAGGGGAUUGCUCCAGCGAAAAGCAUCGCAUGCCAUGCAUAUUGGAGGAAGAGUUUGGAGACGAUAUAAUUUGAUAGAUUGCCAAAAAGAGUGCCAACGCUAAUACGCACCUAAAUGAUGAAAACAAAAAAUGAAAAAGAUGCCACAAAAUUAGAAAGGGAAAAAAUGAAAUGAAAAUAAAUAAGUAUCUCAGGAAAUGAGAUCAGGAUGCCACGGGAGAAGGCAGGGGAGAUCUUGGUCGCAUAGACUAGGGCAAUGUCAAGGCAAAGCUCACGUCGAGGCUGGCCAAAGAGUGGCCGGCCAGCAACAUGACAUAACUUUUGGCCGAACCCAUAAUGAUGGCCCAACGAAAUAUAUGGCCCCCGCCAUCACAAUUGUGCAACGGCGACCAAACUAAUCAGAAAUCAGUGUUGCUAACACCAACCUAAGCAAUGAGAACACAGCAAGGAUGCCCGUCACGAGCUGAAGCAGCAAAUCGCUUGGAGCCAGGUCCUUCUUGAUAUAUGGUGCAAACCCGCUCAUUAGCAGUUGAACCGCCAAAAUUCAAAAAAUAAUAAUAAUGAGAAAAUCUAUUUGCAAAAAAGUACACCAAAAUCACUAGACUAACGGUCUUCCCUUCACAAUAUUGAACAAAAGAGAGACUAACCAUAAGCUAGCGAAAUGGUGGUCAAAGAUGCAGCUAAGGCGUAAACUGUGGCAUACUUGUUCGGAAGCAGCCUCGCCAGAGGAUCGAAGUCCUCAAUCCUUCCUUGUCUAGCAAUGAACUAAUGAAUAAAGAUCAGCUAAGGUAUCAUUAUCUGUCUAAGUAGUGACUCAAUCCACAAGCUUCAAACGAGAGGCAUGAUAAAAGAAUAUCGUAUAAAAUUUCAUAAGUUAUGAUAUUCGAUCGCUAAAAGUUAAAUUAGGCAAUGAACAAUUAAGAGAUAACAGCCCUUAAUAACCUCACUCUAAUCUAUUGUUGCUAUUGCAAUUGAUUUGUUUAUUCUAUUCAAAUAUAUGUUAUACCACGCCCUUGCUCUUUCCACUAUCCACUAUACUAAAAAUCAAUGUUCACUGUACCGAUACUCAAUUGAUACUUGUUUUAUAAAAAAUAAAGAGUGAGAUAUCAAAACGAACUGAUUAGGAUGAUCAUUGUCGGCUAGAGGAGGAGCCAAUGCAUCUCCCCCAUCGUCUUCUAGCUCUAUCUCUAUCCCGUGUGCUCCGAAAGCCUCCACAUCCUCUUCUUGCUGGUGUCCCGACCCAUCUCUCCCAUUCUCUCUUUCUUCUCCUUCAUGGAACAUCUACAACAAAAAUGUCUGGUAGCUAUCGUCUGGCUCUUCAUCUCCUUCAUUGAACAUUCGCAACAGAAAUUGCCAGUAGUUAUCAUCCAUCCCAAAUGGCUAACAAUCCAUCCACUCAAGUGUAGGGAUGACAAGCGAUUUUAAGAGAACAAUGCUGCAAAAAAAAUCGAGAUUAUUUCCUUUUUUAUUUUCACGAAUUUUAUUUUAAAUGAUGAUAAUAUCCGAACAAGGGUCCAACCUAAUUCACAUAAGUGCAGCACUGCCAUAAUUCGAAUGAAGCAUAGAAAUGAAAAACAUCAGCAUUCCGCAAAUAAGUCCAGCCACAAUACUCCAGUAGCACAUGCCGAGUGAAGAUGAGUUUCCUCUCCUACAAGAGAUUCCAAAUGGGAAUCUUGAUUUAGCUACACAGUUGAACGAGGAUGGCCGCACGGCAAAACGUGUGCUGCUUUUAUUACCAAGCGUCCCUUUUUUUUUAUUUUUUGCUCUAUGGUGGAUUACAUGAAAUUGAAAGGAGUCCAAAAACAAUUCCGAGCCCCGUUAAUCAAUUUUGAAAUGAUUAUUUAAAAUAUAUAGAAGAAAAAAACGGAGGGACAAGACAGAUUACCCGGAUCCAGUCACUGGGCUUCUUUUUUGGGGGGAAUGGGCUGGGCUCAAAUCCUAUUUUCACGCCGCCUCGUCUUUAUAGUCGGCAACACUCUCUCUGCGCUCCAGAACGCCGCUCCAGAACGCUCCAAAACUCUCUAGGUCGCCGAAGAUAUGCCGCUCGUCGCUGUUAGGGGCGCGCAUGACAACUAUUAUGUUUUAGAAAUAGUUUCUGGAACAUAAAUAAAAUUUUCUAUUUCUAUUUCUAGAAGAGUUUCUAAGCAAAAAUAACCAUUUGAUAACGAUACAAAAUUUAUACUCUAAAAAUAGAAAUUCAUUUGAUAACGACACAAAAUUUCUUUCUUUCGGACUGCAGCGGACCGGCGAAUAGCGGUGACGGACGGCGGUUGGUGACCGGCGGCGGUGGUGACCGGCGAUGGCGGCGGCGAUGACCGGCGGUGGUGGUGACUGGUGGCGGCAGCAGCCGGCGAUCAGCGGUGGCAACGGCUGGCAGCGGCCAGCUACCGACGGCAGCGGGGGCCGGCGAGCGGCUGGCAACCAACGGACAGUGGUUGGCAGCAACGGAUGAAAGACCGGUUGAUGGACAAUGGGAAAAAAAUUUAUUUCUCAUUUUUGUUUCAGAAAUAGAGAAGUAGAAAAUUUCUACUUCUGAUUUCUAUUCCAAACAUAUUUUUGGAAUAGAAAUCUAUUCCAUAAAUAGAAAAACGGAAUAAAUUUAUCAAACGGAUUUCUAUUCCGGAAACAGGUUUGGAAUAGAAAAUUUGUUUCUGGAACAGAAAUAGGCAGUUGUCAUGCACCCCUUAGGUCGCCGAAGGUACGACGCUCGUCCGCUGCUAGGUCGCUGAAGGUAUGCCGCUUGUCGCUGCUAGGUCACCGAAGGUACGCCGCUCCCUCGCCACGCUCCCCCCGCAACAAACGCGCUACGGCCUCCGUCCUCGUCGCCAGUGGCGGCGGCGGCGGCGUUGCUGUUCUUCUCGCAGUUGCUGGCCUACAACGCUAGCGGCUACAACGACAGCGACAAGAUCGAUCCAGACACGAUGCUAGCUCCUCCAAAAAAAACCCCUAAAACCCUCUCUCUCUUCAACGGCAGCCUUGGCAAUGCGUUUGGUCCGCUUCAGUUUGGCUUUAGUUCGUGCGAGUUGUCCAGUUCGUGCAUGUUUUCUUUCCUGUACCCAGAGUACCGCUUCUCUUAGAGCUAGGGCUUCGAUAACCCACACGGAGAAAGCAGAGAUCGCCUUCGCGAAGCCAUGAAGGAGAACGCCGGCUUCAUUUCUACAGACUCCGGCUACCAAUCCGGCCUUGGACGAUUCACACCAGGAGCAGUCGACGUUAAUUUUUAUCUCGUUUGCUGAAGGUGGGUUCCAGUUCAGCUCUGUUCGUGGGACUUUUGGUGAUUCUCUUCCACAUUUCUUCCCCCGCAGGUUCCAUCUCUUGAAGAGUGCUGCUGUGAUGGUUGUUUCUUCGUGAGUUGUGGAUGGGUCGGGCUUUCGCCCUUGGAAGACCGAAGCAUUUCAACUUUUCCAAAUCUGCCACAAAACAGCAGUAAACAGGGCUUUCAAGUGUUGAUCCGCCCGUGAGGUGAGCACCUUCUCAUGAAGAGCCUUUCUGUAAGUCUUCCCAAUUAUUUUGUAUCUCUCUUGGUGGUUGUGUCAUUCUAUAAUAUCUUAUUUGGCAGGUUGUUCUAUGUCAUUGGAUGAGAAGAUUGGACGUGAUCAUUAUUAUGGCUGUGUAUAUGAUGUACGUGCGAUAAACAUGCAACGUACGUGCACGAUUGAAGAAAAUGAUGGGGAAGAUGUGUUUGGAGUAAUCGAUAAAAUGGGUUGGAAAAAGGGUUGGAAUAGAUUUCUAUUCCAGAAAUUAAAAAAAUGGAAUAAGUUUAUCAAACAGAUUUCUAUUCCAGAAACAGGUCUACAAUAGAAAAAUUAUUUCUAGAACAGAAAUAGGCAGUUGUCAUGCACCCCCUAGGUUGUCAAAGGUACGGCGCUCGCUAGGUCACCAAAGGUACACCGCUCGUCGCUACUAGGUCGCCGAAGGUACUCCACCCCCUCGCCGCGCUCCCCCCGCAGCAACCGCGCUGCGGCCUCCGUCCUCAUCGCCGGCGGCGGCGGCGUCACUGUUCUUCUCGCGGUCGCUAGCCUAGAACGCCGGUGGCUACAACGAUGGCGACAAGAUCGAUCCGGACACGGUGCUAGCUCCUAAAAAAGAAACCCCUAAAACCCUCUCUCUCUUCAACGGCAGCCUUGGCGAUGCGCUUGGUCGGCUUUUGGCGAGCCCUUGCCGCCCCCUCGCCGCACUCCCCCCGCACCAACUACACUGCGGCCUCCGUCCUCGUCACCGACGGCAGCGGCGUCGCUGUUCUUCUCGCAGUCGCUGGCCUACAACACCAGCAGCUACAAUGAUGGUGACAAGAUCGAUCCGGACACGGUGCUAGCUCCUCCAAAAAAAACCCCUAAAACCCUCUCUCUCUCUUCAAUGGCAGCCUUGGCGAUGCGCUUGGUCCACUUCCGGUGAGCCCUCGCCGCGCUCCCCCCGCAGCCCCCGUGCUGCAGCCUCCGUCCUCAUCACUGGCGGCGGCGGCGGCAUCACUGUUCUUCUCGCAGUCACUGGCCUACAACACCGGCGGCUACAACGACGGCGACAAGAUCGAUCUGGACACGGUGCUAGCUCCUCCAAAAAACCCCUAAAACCCUCUCUCUCUCUCUCUCUCUCUCUCUCUCUCUCUCCAACGGUAACCUUAUGGUGCAGCUUUACACAUGAAGCUUUAAGACAGAAUGAACUCCAUCUGAAUAGAUUGGUGGUUUAGAUGAUUCAAAAAAUGAAUACUUGAACUCCAGCUGCUCUCAAUGCACGACCUGGCUUGGUUGAAAAUGAGAAAAAAAAUUUGGAGAAAAUCAACAUUCUCUACCUAAUGGAAAUCAUAUUCAGGUCCUGCUUCCUAUUCUUUUUCUACCUCCAUUUCUAUCAUAGUAUUUCAUAUUUUGCAUUAUAAGCAUAUAUUCCUCCCCAUAUAAAGUAUACAAUUUUAUCCUUGUUUGAUUGCAAAAGGUGGGAGAGGAGAAUGAUAAGACUUAAUGCAUGCCUGGCGCCUUAAAAAUAGUGAUUUCAAUCAACUAAGCAACCCUUCGUCUCUAUAGUUGCGAUUCAUUAGCAGCCAUUACGCAUGAUGAGGAUCGCAUGUUCAGUUAUUCCUUAAGAGUAACUUCUCUGGUUUACAUAUGACCCAAAACUUGAUUUAUAUGUUUAAAUGAGCUUUUGACAUGUUUUCCCAAAAUACAUAAAGUACACAACUCGGACUUUUGGUACACCAUUCUGGGAAGAUUACGAACCAGCUUCUUAGACGAUAGUUUAGCAAUCUAUUUCAUGCUCACAUGUCCAAGCUUGUGAUGCCAGGAAUAUGCUUCAUCUUGAAUUGAUAUAAGACAUUGAGAGCUCUCUGGACUUAUGUCCAAAAGAUAAAUAUUACCAUGUCUUCGCUCAGUGAAAGAUUGAGAGAGGUCUCGACUAACUAGAGAGCAAACAUUUUCUUGGAAAUUGAUUCUAAAUCUUGUAUCAUAUAGCUGGCUUAUGCUCAGAAGACUAUAAUUCAAACUUUUCACCAGAGAAACAUUGUUGAUGAUCAAACUUUCAAUUCUUACUAUUCCAUGUCAAAUAAUUUUUCUUUUGAUGUUCCCACUAAACGAAACAUUUCCUACUUUUUGUUUUUCUAAUUUUACGAAACUGCUUGAAUCUCCAGUCAUAUGUAUAGAACAACCAUUGAUCAAGUAUCAUUUGCUUUUCCUUUUAAUAGUAACUUAGAAUCAAAAAGAAAUCUCAAAUUUUUUUUGGUACUCAAAUUUUCCCGAGUCCUGGUGAGUUAGUUUUAAAAAUAGCCUUUGCCCAAUCUUUCUUAACAGGUUUCCAAAUUUUAGGAUAUUCAUUUUCAAAAUGUUCAGAAAUGUUCAGAAAUGUUACACUUAAAACAUUUAAGAGCACUCCAGCCAACAAGUUUUACAAAAACUUUUUGAAAAUGAUUUUUGUAAGAUUUUGGAAGUUUUUGUCUAAGUCUCUCCUUAACUUUAGGAAAACCGAUCAAAAAAGUACUUUCUUGACUCAGACCCAAACCAUAUUUGUUAAAAUAGGUAUUUGAGCUGAAAGGAUUUUCUCUAAAGUUUUUGAUCAUUUAGAAUACUUUGUAGAAAUAUCUGAAAUCUUCUUUUUCAAACAUUCAUUUUCUUUUAAAAGAGAAUUAGUAUAUUCUUUCAAAUCAUCAAAAUCUUUUUUUAGAUUCUCAAACUUUUCUCUCCAAGAAUUAUCCCGUUGCCUGAGUUUUGAAUUUUCUUUCUUUAAUUCGGAGAUCCUUUUAAAAGAAAAUUUGAGGUUCAAGCAAAGUUCAUCUAUAUAUUUAGAAACUUUAAUUAGAAUUUUUGAAUGACUUACUUCAAUUUCCUUGUUAGAUUCUGAGUCUGUGUCUGAGUCUGACUCUGAUUAUGAAUAUGAUUAUGAGUAAGCCAUCAAAUAGAUAUUUGCAAACUCCUCUUCACUUUCCUUGCAUUUUGUGUCACUUCAAGUUUCCGCUUUUAGGUUUUGUUGUAUUUUUCAUACUUUCAUUUCUUUUUCUUUUAUUUUUAGCAAAGGACAGUUAGGCUUGAUGUGCAGGAUAAAGUGACUUCGCCUUUCCUAGACGAUGCGUCCUUGUCCGGCGGGGGCAAAAUGGUCAAAGGAUAGUGAUAUACCUUGUGCAUUGCGAGGCGAGGAUUUUGGAUCGAAGCAAGCAUUUGUUUAUCAUUUAUAUAUAUAGAUAAUGACGUAGAGAGCCGUUGAAUCUUGAUUCAAUGUGCAAUUUGAUCCCCAAUAUUCAGUUCAAGAUGCAAUAUAAUCUCUCAAUUUUGGCACACAUAUUCAAUAUAAUUUCUGAAUUGUAUGAAAAUAUUAGACCAGAUUAAACAAAUUAAAAAUUUAGAGAUAAAAAUUUUUAAGAACUGUUUGUGUUAUUCUUUUUAAUUGUAUAUUUGGGUUGUAAUACAAAAAAGUACAGACUUUUCAGAUGAGAAAUAAAAUGAAUAAUAAAAGGACAAGAUCCCACCAAGAAGCUUGAACGUUGUCCACCUUAACACUGACGAACGCAAAAGUAUCUUCUUGCAUGAUUGCCUCUCGAAUGACCCCUAAAAAUCAGAUGUGACGAUGUGAGUGGACAACAAAAGGCAAACGAAGCGGCGUGGAUUAGUUUCAUAAAAAAAUCUAGAUUUUGCCUACUUUUCCAAGUGAUCAAUAUCUCCAAACUCAUACAGUUGAUUUAAAAGUACAUUUCCUCCAAGACAACAAUCAAUGAUUCGUGCCUUGUGUGAAUGAUGAUAGACGAACGAAGUUAAAGUGACUUUAGUUAUGUCAAAAGCAACGCUACUCUAUAUCACUUACAGGAAUUUAAAAAUUGCCAACGAGACGUUAUCGUGUGGAGGUUUUUUCAUUUCAUUCUCUUUUUCUCUUCAUCGAUCGAGGGGCAAAAUCUAAAUUCGGAUGGUUUAGUGAUGGCAAUAUUGGAAUAGACAAAAAUUUGUUAACCCGCUCGUGUUCCCCUUCAAAAAUGCUCAAAGCCAAAACAGGUGGGUACUUUUGAAGUUUUAGGCUUUCAAAAGGUUUUUAAAAGGCAGUUUGGAGUCCAAAGUGAGCAUAAUUCCUUAAAAAACCUCAAAUUUUAGAUUUAGCCACAAUUCUACCCUAAACUUUUUGUAUCCUAAAAAAACUUCUAACUUUUACUUUAGUCACAAAUCUACCAUUGUUAAUCAUCCAUGCAAAAGCUCUAUUAGUUGUCUAACGUAGCAUUUUCACGUCAGCAAUGAAUUUUUGUCAUAUGCUCAUGUGGAUUUUUUGUCAUUGUUCAUCGUGCUUAUUUGCUUCAUCUUAUUUACUCCUUGCAACCUCCAUUAACAAGAGCACGGAGCCCAAAUCAUUCAUUUUGACUUAAACAUGCUCUAUUUAUUUUGUGGGAAAUGAAUAACGACAAUUUCCCAUUGCUCGCGUCGCUCGAAAUAAUUAAUUAAUAAAAAAUAUGUUUAUUACUGAUAAUACUUAUAUCUAAAUAUUUUCAUGAACAAUAAAUGUAUUUUUCGUUAAUUCGUUUUCGUAGGCAAUACAAACUAUUAUUUUUAAGAAUAUAUUUUUCAAAUCAUUUGUUUUUCGCGAAAAAAAUAAAGCCUAACUUUUCAAAGGCAAAUUCUUCCCCCUGUUUUUUCCCUCUCACUCAACUAGCAACCAAAUAUAUUAGCACAUUGAUGAGUGAACCCCACAGCACCUCCAGUUAUGGUGCCCUCUUUUUUUGCUCUCACUCAACUAGUAACCAAGUCACUGCAUUUGCAUGCUCCAUAGGCUUUUUAAUCUUGAUAUGGUGCUCUAUUUUUUCUCUGAGAAUGGUGCCAUAUCUUAUUGUAUCCAACUCCAAGUACGAACGGAACUUUUCUGGACAAGGCAUAAAAAGCCACUUGUGUGAUGUCAUUUCUUGCUAUGCGGCUCCUUUUCCAGCCAAUUUUGAAUGUUAAAGCAAAGUUUGUGGGGACUGUGCUCUGCCCUGCUCUUUGCUUUACGAAGUCUCUGCAUCUCUCCUUUGUAACAAACAAUUAGCUUUUGUUUAGAGUUCUGUCAUGUCUGCUUGAGUUCGGGACGGUUUGUCUACUAGCCCAUACAGCUGGGGAAGUGAAUGAAAUGGAACGACCGCAUCCGAAGGAGUGGGCUCGAACUGUAGGGCCGGCAAAAUGGGUUAUAAACCCAUAUUAUGAUCCAUUUUUCGUUAAAUGGGUCAUAUAUGGGUCAAGUGAAGUUAAAUAUGGGUUAAAAAAGAGUCAAGUGAAAGUUAAAUAUGGGUUAGAAAUGGGUCAAGUGAAAAUUAAAUAUGGGUCUAAAUGAAUUAUUAGGAAACCACUUUAAAUUUUAAAUCCAUGACCUUUUUUAACUUUAUAAAAAUAUUUUUCUAUAAAAAAUUAUAAUUAUAAUUAUUUUUCAUAUUUUAAUUUUUCUUUUUUCUUUUUUCUUUUUUCUUUCUUCCUUUCCUUAGCUAAUGGCCAGCAGGGCAACAGCUGGCCGCCGGCCGAUGACAAGCGAGGCGAGGCUCGAGCUCGCCAGCGUCGGGCGGGGCCUCGGCCUCACCGGAUCGGUGAGAUCGAGCCCCUCCCGAUGCCGGCGAGCUCAAUCUUGCCCGUGGCUAGUCAUCGGCCGUCGUUGUGGCCGGCGGCCGGCCGAAGAAGAAGAAAAAAGAAAAGAGAAAAAUAAAAAGAAAAAGUAAUUAUUAAAGAUUUAAAAAUAUAUUUUUAAAAAAUUAAAUAAUAAAAAAUUAUAUUUUUAAAAAUAUUUAAAAAUAUUUAAAAAUAAUUAAAAAUUCGAUUUUUUAAAAGAUAUUUUUAUUUAUUUUUAUUUUAUUUACUAUUUAGCAUAUAGUAGAAGUGAGUUUUCCUAGAAUAUUAAUAGGUUUUAGCAAUAUGGGUUGGGUUGGAUUAGGUAUGGGUUGGGUACGGAUCGGGUCGGGUCGGGUAUAGAUCACUAAAUUUACAUUACAAGAAUAUGAGUCAAAACGGGUUAAAUAGGUUAACUAUGGGUUAAGCCAUUUUUGACCCGACUCAUACCAGACCCGACCCACCCAUUUGCCACCCUAGAUCUCAUCAUGUACGAUGAUUUAUGUCCAUUUUGUUUUGAUACGUAUUAAGUUCAUCGAACGGGUUUUGUCGUUUUCACGGCAUUUUCAUGCGGUGAAGGAGUUUUCCGACUCCCUCCACUGAUAUUGCGUAGAACCGAGGCGCAUGCACCGGCCCGCAAAGAGGGAAUUGCGAUGGAGACAAAGCGCAUGCACCGCGUGCGAACGGAAAGUUGAUCCUUAGACGAAUUUUGACUCAAACUUCAUGGACUCGUCGGAGAUGAGUGCGAAGGGAAUAUAUGCGACGAAUUCAAAGUCCGAUUCCUCCUCUACGGGCCAAAAAAGUUGUAAGAGUCGAUUCAAUCUACUUUUCUAGUAAAACAAUCACACGUCAACCUAAAAAAGGAGUUGUUGAGUACAUCCAACUCAAAACAUCAAAAGACCGGUCGAAACAGAGAUUACGACAGGCUUCACCAUCUCUAAGGCGAGGCUUGAGCCUCGUCGGUCGUCGGCGACCUGCCGAUGAGCUCGAGCCUCGCCUGGCCUGUCGCCGGCUAAGGAAGGAAGAAAAAGAAAGAAAAAGAAAAAUUAAAAUAUGAAAAAUAACUAUAAUUUCAAUUUUUUAUAAAAAAAUAUUUUUAUAAAGUUAAAAAAGGUCAUGGAUUUAAAAUUUAAAGUGGUUUCCUAAUAACUCAUUUAGGCCCAUAUUUAAUUUUCACUUAACCCAUUUCUAAUCCAUAUUUAACUUUCACUUGACCUAUUUUUAACCCAUAUUUAACCUCACUUGAUCUAUAUAUGACCCAUUUAACUAAAAAUGGGUCAUAAUAUGGGUUUAUGACCCAUUUUGCUGGCUCUAACUAAGAGAGAAGGAAUGGAGCGGAACGAUAAACUUCAUACAGCAUUAAUAAAAAAAAACUAUCACUAAAUAAGAACCUAUUUUGGAAUUGCACACAAAUGUUCAAAAACAGAACCGCACACAAACAUGCAAAAGACUUGUUCCACCUCCUAGAAAAUAGCUAACAAACCAACUGCCUAACAGAUAAACUUGACUGAAUUAAAAAAAAAAAAAAAAAAAAAAAAAAAAAAAAAACAAGAUAUCAGCAGCACACUAAGACACAUCAACAACUUGGAGCAAGUAUCCACCAAGAACGGUGCCUUCCUCACUGGUGGGGUGGCUUAGCCUCGUGCCUUGAUCUGGCUCCAGACCAUCGCUGGGACGAACACCAACUUCCCGACCUACUCAUCGCAGCUCAAGCAAGUCCUCUCCAUUUGACAUGUCCAACUCAAUAACCUCGCCUUCACCUCUGACGCCGGCAAGCUCCUGGGGUGGUUCUCGGGUGUCACCACGGCGCACCUCAGAGGUCGUCCUCCUGGUCGGCGCUGUUGUGACCUACCCUCGGGGGGAGGGAACAGGUUUAGGGGUAUUUCCCAAAGGACGGGUCUAAGGCCCAUGAUUAGGCGCAGGCUCUCCCAAGCCCAUACCUCGCGUGACGUUAGGAUAUUCUUCAUGAAUUUUGCACAAAAGGAGUCGCCACUAGCCUAUUGGGGUCGGCUAGAAACCAAGUGAGACAUGGGAGCGUGCCUCACGUUCUACGCAACCAGAGAAUUUAGGUUCGGGGACUUGAUUACACUAAUUAACCAAUUAGUGCCCUUUCGGUACCUAAUCUUGUUCAUUUUAACAAAAUGAUUUUUGGCAUGCAGUUUGAAUUGAUUUUAUACUUAUCCACUAACAUAUGAGGUGAUCAUGCGGGUGCGCAAUCAUUAAAGUAAUAUUCAUAACUAUCAAGAUCUUAAUUGCCAUAAAAUUAAACACAUGCAAUCAAACAUAAUUAGAUAUUCAAAUUAAACAUGCAACAUAAUUAAUAUACGAGCACAUAAAGGUUUAACUACGCUAAAAUGGCAAUACAUGGCAAGUCCUAAUCAAACUCCAUCAUUUUUGGAUUUUCGAAUUUUUUAAUUAAUUUUAAUUUUUUUUAAAAAAAUUAAAAGAAAAUUAAUUUUUUUAAAAAAAUUUAAAAGAAAAUUAAUUUUUUUAAAAAAAUUUAAAAUUUUUUUAAAAUUUUUAAAUUUUAAUAUUUUUUGGAUUUUCUAAAUUAUUUAUAAAAAAUAUUAAAAUAUAUAUAUUUUUUUUUUGGACCGGACCGGAUUGGUCCGGUCCAACCCGACCCGGGUUCAGUCCGGUUAGGAGCAGGUGGGCCCGAAUCACGAGCCCAACCCAAGAGGUCCCCUCCUCUCUUUUCAAAAGAAAUUAAACUUAUAAGCCCACACUAAACAGCCCAAACCCACAAGUCCCUAAGCCCACUACCUAAAACAGCCUAAACCAAACCCUAAGUAUAGCCGGCCCGAUGUGAGCAAAACCCUACCCGAUUCAUGACUUUCGCCCGACCCGGUUUUGGAGCGGCAUUGAUGACGGCGGCGACUGGCUUGACGAGGCGGCGACGCGGCGGAGCAGAGAUGGAGUAAGGCGGCUUCGGGCGCGUGCUGGAGGCAGAUCGGCGACGCAGCUUCGGGUAGAGGCAGCGGCGGUGGUGGCGCAAUGCUCGCGGGUCUGGUGCUCGAGCAGGAGGGUGCAACGAGGAGGUUGAGCAGCGGCAUCAGGUGUGAUCAGUGGUGGCACAGCUUGAGGGAGCAACAUGGGCGAGGGGGGUUCCGGUGCGUCAGUGUUCGGCGGAGGAGCUUCGGACAGCUGCAGGACGGCCGCUGCGUCGCGACCGGUUCAGAUCUGCUGGUGUCAGGGGACAGUAUGAGCUCGCGGGCAAGGGGAAUCCCUGUGGUGGCGCGGCACGAGCAGCAGAGGAGGCGCAAGCCGGUGCAGGGCUCGCUCAGUGGUGGAGCGAAGACUGGCUCAGAUCUGCUGUUGUUGGGGCGCUCGAGUGGGAAGGUGAUGACAGCGGUGCUGUCGCGGCACGAGCGACGGAGGAGGUGCAGACCGGCAGAGUAGAAGCAGCAGCGUCGACACUCACGGACGAUGGAGAUGCAGCGCGGAUGCGCGGCAGCUGCAGGUCGCAGCAAAGACCGACGGAUGAGCAGCGGCAGGGGCUAGUGACGCAACAAUAGCGGUCGUCGGGGGGUUGCAGACGGACGGUUGCAGGUCGCGUGGCGAGGGGGCUCGGUGACCAGCUCGGGCUACUGGCGUCGGGAUGCAGCAGUGGUGAGACCGGGGAGGUCACGAGCAGCGGGCUCGGGGUCGGGUUUCCCCCCCGGUAGACCGGACUGAGUAAGAAGAAUCUGAAGUUGAUGAUAUAAUGUGGCAAAUGGAUCGUUGACCCCCCCCCCCCCCCCCCGACAACGGAGGGGCUCCUCUCUCCAGCUCUCUUUUUUGGCUCCCUGGUUCUCCCCCCUUUUUUCUCCUGCUUUUUUCGGUUUCUCCCCGUUGCUCUGCUCUAUAGUUUUUUUUCUCUCCACCAGCUCCUCUUCUGUCUUCCUCCCUCUGUUUUCUGCCCUUUUUUUUUUAACAGCAAGGAGGCAGCGAGCAGCCGGAGUCACGGGUGUGGCUGGCGGAACAACGAUGCAGCGUUCGGCAAUAGAAGUAGCAGACCGUUGGGGGGCUCGGCUACUGCGAGUCGUGGGCAAAAAAGAGGUAGAGCGAGACCAGCAGAGGUGGUGUCGCGACUUCAGGGGCACAAAGCGGUGGUGAGGUUCGGUGGCUUGGCUGUUGGCGUUGAGUUGCAGGCGGUGGGUCGUUGCGGGCAGAGGCGCAGGAGCGGCGGCGUCUGGCUUCGGAGCGGGGUGCGGCGGUGAUGGCGGAUGUCUGGUGCUUCGGUAGCAACGGCGCGAAGGAUGGUGUCGGGCAGGAGGGCGGCGGCCGAGACGACGUCAGGUUGAGGCGACGAGGCCUCCUCGCUCCUUGGCCGCCGUCCUCCUCUCCCCCUCGAGCUCUCUUUCUCUCUCUGUGUUUUUUCUUUUUUUUCUUCCUUCAAACUCUCUCUCUCUCUCUCUCUCUCUCUCUCUCUGCUGAGCUCUCUGUGCUCCGUCUCCUCUUUUCCUCUUUGCUUCCCUGUUUCUUUUAAAACCGCUGUUGGUUCCUUUUUCUUUGCCUCUGUCCGAAAUGCCUUUUGCUAGUCCACGAAGCCAGCUCUCCUUCUUUUCCAUCUUCAGCUCUAAUUUUCCUCAGUCAGUCCAGCCUCCUUGCCUCUAUGUAUGCCUGCAGCGGGUUUUCUCCUUGGGACCGAGUUCGGUCUAUUUUCAGCUACAACGGUUGCAGGUUUUCUUGGGCUUCAUCAACUGCAGACGCUGCCACGCUGCAGCCAAGCUUUCAUUACUUCCUUUUUUCUAUUUUUUUUUGUUGUUUUUGUUUUCUUUUUCUUUUUUGUUCUUUUUUGUUUGUGUUUUCAUUUUUUUUUUUAACGACUAGUUCCUAAUUCUAUAGACAAUUAAAUCCUAAAUAAAAAAAUGGGAAAAUUUAGGUGUCAACAGGCGCGCUGCUGGGGCUCGUCAAGAACGGCGUCCAGGACCUCUUCGUGGCCGACAAGGUCGCCUCGGUCUUGUACCUAGGGAUGUUUCUCCUCUCCUUCCUCGCCGGGAACAGCAUCUAUUGGAUCAACACAGUCUGCUAUGUGUGUGGCGAUCAACAACUUCCCGCUCCAUCGCCAGGUUGCCGUUGGGCUCACCACCAGCUACCAAGGGCUAAGCGUCGGAGUCUACACGGAUAUUGUUGACGCCACGCUCGAUAGGCAGGGCGGGACUGGGGCUAGAGCUCAAGCAUAUCUACGUCUCAGUUCAGUCCUGCCAAUGGCCGUCUCACUAGCAACCGUGCCUUUUGUUCAUGUCGUCGGUGCGGACAGUCCAGGGGUAGGCAAAAAUGCACAUGCCGUGUUCAUAAUCCUAUUCAUCAUAACAAUCGCAACAGGAGUUUCUGCGGUGGUGAGUAGUAAGGGGUCGGUGUUGGGCACCUUACCGGCGGUGUACAAUGCGAUGGGGAUGGGCAUCUUCCUCCUGAGCCCCAUCGUUGUACCGCUUGCCGUAUGCCUCAAGCACGUCCUCGCCCACAUCGAGAUGAAGGUACACGACAUGGUGACCGAGCAAAAGCACGGCGAACCUAGCCCUAGACAAGUGGGAUCAAGUGGGAGGAUCAUCCCCAAGUUGGCGACCAAGAAGAGGAGGUGGUUGCUGUGGUUCCCUCAAGCGAGGAAGCGACAACUAAUGGUGUUAGAGAGGAGAUUGGAGCCUAAGAGAUGGUGAAGCGAGUCGAGUUCUGACUCUACUUCUUUGUGUACCUGCUCGGGGCGACGCUCGGGCUCGUGUUCCUCAACAACCUGGGGCAGAUCGCCAAGUCCGAGGGAGCUCAAAGACGCUGUUGCUGGUCUCUCUUUCGUCAUCGUUCGGGUUCUUAGGGCGGCUGAUCCCGUCUCUCUUCGACUACCUCUUCGAAAGGUAAUUACGACCGCCAUUUCCUCCUUUUGUCAAUGUUUCGAUUAGUGCCGUUAGAUUGAUAGCUAAGCAUGGAGUUCAAUAAUUAGUCCAGAGUUUGAAGUGGACGAACCAUGGCAUUUGCACGUAAAUGUCUUCAGCAUUAAUUGUCCUUAUUCUCUAACUAGUCAAAACACUGACAAUGGAGCGCCGUCUCCAGACUCUCUACGCGAUGUUAGGCACGUUCUAGAUAGGAGACUUCUAUGCAUUCGCAUAUAAGAUAUAUGUUUAGUGCAUUGUCGAUUAUAAGAAAUGGGUAUGGUGUGGCACUGCUCUACCGCAGCUGGCGAGGUGGCGAUGGGAGGUGCAUAAGGAUGGAGUGCUACAGCACAACGUUCAUCAUGCAUUAAACAGAUAUCUUAUAUGCAAAUGCAUAGAAGUCUCCUAUCUAGAACGUGCCUAACAUCGCGUAGAGAGUCUGGAGACGAUGCUCCAUUGUCAGUGUUUUGACUAGUUAGGGAAUAAGGACAAUUAAUGCUGAAGACAUUUACCUGCAAAUGCCAUGGUUCGUCCACUUCAAACUCUGGACUAAUUAUUGAACUCCACGCUUAGCUAUCAAUCUAACGACACUAACCAAAACAUUGACAAAAGGAGGAAAUGGCGGUCGUAAUUACCUUUCGAAGAGGUAGUCGAAGAGAGACGGGAUCAGCCGCCCGAAGAACCCGAACGAUGACGAAAGAGAGACCAGCGACGACGUCUUUGAGCUCCUCCGGACUCGGCAAUCUGCCCCAGGUUGUUGAGGAACACAAGCCCGAGCAUCACCCCAAGCAGGUACACGAAGAAGUAGAGCCAGAACUCGACUCGCUUCACCAUCUCUUUGGCUCCAACCUCCUCUCUAACACCAUUAAUUGUCGCUUCCUCGCUUGAGGGAACCACAGCAACCACCUCUUCUUGGUCGCUAACCUGUGGAUGGUCCUCCCACUUGAUCCUACUCUUGUUUAGGCCAGGUUCGCCGUGCUCUUGCUCGGUCACCAUGUCGUGUAACUUCAUCUCGGUGUGGGCGAGGACGUGCUUGAGGCAUACGGCGAGCGGUACAACGAUGGGGCUCAGGAGGAAGAUGCCCAUCCCCAUUGCAUUGUACACCACCGGUAAGGCACCCGACACCGACCCCUUACUACUCACCAUCGCAUAAACUCCGAUUGCGAUUGUUAUGAUGAAUAGGAUUAUGAACAUGGCAUGCGCAUUCUUGUCUGCCCCUGGACUGUCCACACCGACGACGCGAACAAAAGGCGCGAUCGCUAGUGAGACAACCAUUGGCAGGACUGAACUGAGAAGUAGAUAUGCUUGAGCUCUAGCCCCAGUCCCACUGCGCCUAUCAAGCGCGUCGUCAACAAUAUCCGUGUAGACACUGGCGCUUAGCCUUGGUAACUAGUGGUGAGCCCAAUGGCAACCUGGCGGUGGAGCGGGAAGUUGUUGAUCGCCACAACAUAGCAGACCGUGUUGAUCCAACAGAUGCUGUUCUCGGCGAGGAAGGCGAGGAGAAACAUCCCCGGGUACAAGACCGAGGCAACCUUGUCAGCCACAAAGAGGUACUGGAUGCCGUUCCUGAGGAGCCCGAGCAGUGCGGCAACUAGGAGGACCACCCCAGGAGCUUGUCGGCGUCGGAGGCGAAGGCGAGAUUGUUAAGCUCGACCUGGGAGAUGGAGAGGACUUGCUUGAGCUGCAACGAGUAGGCUGGGAAGUUGGUGUUCGUCCCAGCAAUGGUCUGGAGCCAGAUCAAGGCCACGAGGCUAAGCCACCUCACCAGUGAUGAUGGCACCGUUCUUGGUGGAUACUUGCUCUAAGUUGUUGGAGAUGUGUCUCAGUGUGCCGCUGAUAUUCUGUUGUUUUUUUUAUUCAGUCAAGUUUAUUUGUUAGACAGUUGGUUUGUUAGCUAUUUUGUAGGAAGUGGAACAAGUCUUUUGCACCUUUGUGUGCGGUUCUGUUUUGGUUCUGUUUUUGCAUGUUUAUGUGCGGUUUUGUUUUGCACGUUUGUGUGCAGUUUUGUUGCAGUUCUGUUUUUGCAUGUUUGUGUGCAAUUCUGUUUUGCACGUUUGUGUGACAGUUUUUUUAUUAAUGUUGUAUGAAGUUUAUUAUUCUGCUCCAUUCAUUUUCUCUCAGUUAGAGCCGGCAAAAUGGGUCAAAAACCCAUAUUAUGACCCAUUUUUAGUUAAAUAGGUCAUAUAUGAGUCAAGUGAAGUUAAAUAUGAGUUAAAAAUGGGUCAAAUGAAAGUUAAAUAUGAAUUAGAAAUGGAUCAAGUGAAAAUUAAAUAUGGGUCUAAAUGAGUUAUUAGGAAACCACUUCAAAUUUAAAUCCAUGACCUUUUUAACUAUAAAAAUAUUUUUUAUAAAAAUCGAAAUUAUAAUUAUUUUCAUAUUUUAAUUUUUCUUUUCUUUCUUUUUCUUUCUUCUUUCUUCUUUCUUUUCUUCCUUCCUUAGCUGGCAGCCAACCGGCGACAGGCCAGGUGAGGCUCGAGUUCGCCGGUAGGUCGCCAACAACCGGCCAGGCCGAGCCUCGCCGGCGACUUGCGAGGCUCAAGGCCUCGCCUGACGCUGGCAAGCUCGAGCCUCGCCGGAUCAGCGAGAUCGAGCCCCUCCCAACGUCAGUGAGCUCGAUCUCGCCCGUGGUCGGUUGCCAACCGUUGUCAUGGCCGGCGGCCAGCCGAAGAAGGAGAAAAGAGAAAAAGAAAAAGAAAAAGUAAUUAUUAAAGAUUAAAAAUAUAUUUUUAAAAAUAAAAAAUAAUUAAAAAUAUGUUUAAAAAUAAAUAAUAAUUAAAAAUAUAUUUUUUAAAAAUAAAAAAUAAUAAUUAAAAAUAUAUUUUUUAAAAUAAAAAUAAUAAUUAAAAAUAUAUUUUUAAAAUAAAAAUAAUAAUUAAAAAUAUAUUUUUUAAAAUAAAAAUAAUUAAAAUUAUAUUUUAAAAAAUAAUUAAAAAUUUGAUUUUCUAAAAAAUAUUUUUAAAUAUUUUUAUUUAUUUACUAUUUUUUAAAUCCAAUUAGCAUAUAGUAGAAGUGAGUUUUCCUAGAAUAUUAAUAGGUUUUAGCAAUACGGGUCGGGUCAAGUACAGGUUGGGUUGGGUCGGGUAUGGGUCACUAGAUUUACACUACAAUAAUAUUGGUCAAAACGAGUUAAAUGGAUCAAAUAUGGGUCGACCAAUUUUCGACCCGACCCAUACCCGACCCAACCCACCCAUUCGCCACCCCUAACUCGAAGGAAGAUUAAGAGAUUUUCUUGAAGAAGCACGGGCCGCAGGUCUAAUGCAGAUAAUUACAAUACUGAAUUUUAAGGUACAUUUGAUUCAGUUUUUUCAAGAGACUUUUAGUCUUUAAAUCCUUUUAGGGAAAUAUUGAGGUAUUAGGCGAGUAUUUUAAAGUAACUUUCGACCAAAUUCUGACUCCUACCUAGCAUCUAAAAUAACAUUUGUGAAAUGCUGAAACAAAAAUUAAAAUAUUUUUUCCUUCCAAAAUUAUCCUCACUAAUUCUUUGGUAAUCUAAUUUUGCCAUUCUAUUACUAUUCAUCUUCUUGUUAAGAUUCUUUAGUUUGGCCAAUGGUGAGGAACUAGUGAAGCCAAAUCUGGCUAGCGAAAGGCUGACUAGGGUUGCGCAACCUAACCGACCGCCACUAGAGGUUGCCUAACCUCGGACGACCGUCACCAAAGGACGCCCUGACCUCGAACGACUAUUGCCUAAGGUCAGGCAACCCCAGGAGGUAGUUGUCGAAGGUCAAGCAACCUCUAGUGGAGUUCGGGCGACCCUAGGUGGCAGUUGCCUGGGGUCGCAUGACCCUUGCAAGAUCCAGCGUGUCGCCUUGGUUGUGUGACCUUAGGCAACCCUCGCCUAGAUCUCACGACCUCAGCCCAUGGCCGCCAACACUAGAUCUAGCUCACUAGUGGCCUACGCCCUUCAUUGGCUCUAGCAAAGGGUUUUGAGUUUUUAAAUAACAAAUAUAUAAAUGAGUUUUUUAAUAAAAAUAUAAAAAAUAUAUAUAGUCAAAGCCCAUUGCAAAAUAUUUUUACUAAACACUACGUGAACCCAAAAUGGCUUUGCAAAAAGUUUUUACCAAACAUAGUUUGCAUUUCUCCAAAGGGCUUUAGCUUUCGGUAUUUGUAUUAUAACAAAGCCGAACCAAUCCCAACGUUCUUCAAGUGGAUGUGCACAUGAGAGUAGCCAUACAAAAAGAGAUGACAAGAUCGAAGAGUUUCUACAUUGAAGGUCACGGAAUCUCUCUCUGUGUGCUUGCGUGCGCGAUUUUAAGAGUUUCUUAUCGCCAUAGUCAAGCAUUGCGGAGGUGUUGCGGGGUUCACUCAAUGUGGGUGGAGCUCGUGCUUUGCGAGGCGAGGAUUUUGGCUCAAAUCGAGCAUUUGAUAGUCAUAACUUAAAACGUAUUGUCACGACCUAAAUUUCGGGUGAACCACCUAAAAUUUGGCUAAUAAAUUAUUAAGCCUAGACUUAACUCGGGUUCUCCCAAACCCAUACCAAUUCGCGACUUAUGUUCAAGUUCUUAACAUGCAGAUAGAUUUUAUCUAUGAGUCGCCACUAAUCUAUUUUUUAGUGAGUCGAUUAGAAACCCAAGUAAAGUAACAAGAGUUUACUUUACUCCUACGAACCAGAAACUAUGGGUACGGGAACUUGGUUACAUUAGAUUUCUCUAAUGCCCUUUCGGUACCAUUCUUUUAUUUUCAAAAUUUUUUUUUGGCAGGCAGCUUAAAUUGAUUUUAAAUAUAUUUUCCUAACACGUGAGGCGAUCAUGCGGGUACGCAAACCACCAAUUUAACACCCAGAUAAGCAAUGAAUAAAUUGCAAAAACUUACCUCAAAGCAGCCAAAGCAUUUGCAAUGUUAAAUUAGAAUCCACAUCAACGACCUUGGAUAUGAUUUCUAAUUAACACGCAAUUUCUUUUUUGUUUUCACUUGAUUAAUGAAAGUCAUGCAAUAUGCAAUGCAGUAUUAACUAAACGACCUAAUUCUAAUGACAUGCAAUUUCUAACUGAACGGACCUAGCAACAAUCAUUAAAUGGCAUGCAUUUCAUGAAUCUAAUUCUAAAUGACAUGCAAUGACAUUUUUAUUUCUUAUAAAAAUUCGUAAUUAAAAAUUACUAACAAUAAAAAUCUAACUAAAGUGAGAUAUUAUCUAUUUUUAAGUUAGGAAAUAGACUAAUCUAAAUCCUAUCUUAAACUUAGAAAUUUGUCUCGACAUGCAAUUUAAUUCCAAGAUAUUAUCUAACCUAGAUAUCAUCUAAACAUGCAUUCUAAUAUAAUUAAAAAGGUAUCUAACUAUUCUAUCAUGCAAUUCUAUAUAGGAAAUCAAAUAUAAUCUAUAUGAUAUGCAAAUGCAAUCUUUUUGCAUUUUCGGGAUAAAUAAAACAAUUAAAAGAUAAGCACAAAAUCAUUCAGAAUCAUCACAGAUAUCGCACAUCGUCUGAAUUAGGAAACAAUAUCUAAAUCAGACUUGAUUAUUUCACUAAUAAAAUCGAUAAAUUGAUCUUAAGCCUUAAAGAUCAAGAUAUCAAUUUUAUUCAUGUGUAAUUAAUUAUUCCAUCUAAAGCCUUAUAGAUUGAAUAAAAAAUCGGUAUGCGGUUGCGAACUAGGAAAUAUAUCCUAAUUGAAAGUUAUGUCUAUUACUCAUGGAUAUGAAACUAUAUAUAAAUGGGCAUAUGUUAGGCAAUAAAAUAUCCAAAUAUACUAGAGAUGUGCAUCUUACCUAAUUUGAUGAUAUUCUUCCCAAAUUUGGACCAAAUGCAAUCGGACCGGGAUCGCAACCUGCUCCUCGAAGGGAUGACGAGUGGCAAGAGGUGGCUAAUGGUGGCCCGCGACUGGCACCACAGUCAGCGGGUUGUCAUGCAAUGCAGGGGUGAACACUUAGGAAAUGCUUCUCAUGUCUUUCUCCAAAAGACGAGGGGAUGACCUGCAACACAAAAAUUACGAGGAAAGAAAGUCUUCGUUGAAAGCCUAGCAGCAAGACUUCACCAGCCAACGUGAAUGGUCUGCCAAGAAAAAGAAAGUGAUCUUUUUAUUCCUUUUUUAUUUGCUCUUUAUGUGCCCCUCUUUCUCUUCGUUGGUGGACUUCAGAAGAACGGUGAUUCGCCGAUACUGCAACUUCUCGGUUUGGAAUGGUCAGGCUCGAGCUUGGACAGCAGCACGCCGUUAUUGCUGGGGACUCCGCGGAUGGCUUAACAGGCCGUAUGGGUGUGGCUCACGUCGGGUAAUGACAGCUCGGACUUGGAGGAACGUUACAGCUGCAACAGGAUCGCCAUGGCUCAUGGGGGUGGAACUCAGCGUCAGGGCAACGCGGGCAACGGCUCCAUGACAGUGAGCGGCAGCAACGGGUCAACAACGAAGGGUUCGGCCGCAGUGCAGAGGGCGACGAUAUGGCAAUGGCACGGCGUCGGCAAGGGUGGCGCGUCUUGGUGCACCCGGAAUAAAGAACGAUGAAGUGCAACAAGCUUGGACGUUUGCGACUCCAGUAUCUUCGUAGAGUGGUGGCCAGCAAGCAAUUUGGACGAUCACAGCAAAGUCAUGGGUUGAGGUAGGUCAAGCACCGAAGAAGAAGACCAUCUCUCGUGCUUUUUCUCUCUCUCUCUCGUCUCUCACUCACAAUUUUUAUAUUGUGGCUGACCUAAAUUCUAUCGCUCUCUGUCAUGAAAAAUGAGCCUCUCUUUUAUAGUGAUUCGAAACGAUCUCUUUACAUGACAUUUCCCGAAUUACCAUUUCUUGUCACAUUAAAUCAAAUCUGUAUGAUUUGGCAAUCAGCUCAAUUCUUACCCAUUUUUCACUUGAUUUCAAAAUUGUUGCUGCAUUUAACAAAAUCCGGACAUCCAUCAUAAUUUCAUAUUUCCUUGCGUAAUUCAAUCAAAUCAAUUUCCCCCAUUUUCAUUUUUUUCUUUUUAUUUGUUCAAAAUGUAAUUUUAUUUUUCCAAAAUUAGGUGUCAACACGUAUAUUUUUUAUGUAAUAUAAAAUGUACAUCUAGAAAGUAAACUGUUUAGAGAAGAAAUAAAAUAAAUAAUUAAAAGAGAAAAUCCCACCAAAAAGCUUGAACUUUAUCUAGAGAGCCACAAAAGUAUCUUCCUUUAUGAUUGCUUUGUAAAAUGACUGUUAGAAAUCAGAUGUGGCAAAUGAAGCUCCAUAAAUUAAUUCCAUAAAAAAUAAAAAUAAAAAUCUAAAUUUGUCUAGUGUGACACCACUAUGGAAAUUCCCUUUUCUAAGUGAUCAAUACCUCUGAAAUCGUGUUGAUGACCUGAAAGUACAUUUUCCUCCAAGACGGUCAAUGAUUCGCGUCUUGUGUGGACAACGAUAGGCAAACGAAAUUAACGUAGCUUUAGUUAAGUCAAAAGUGACAUGACGUGUGAAUUUCCAGGACUUUAAUAAUUGCCAAUGAGACACUGACUAUCGUGGAGGUUUUUUUUAUCUCUCUCUUCAUCGAUUGAGGGGUAAAUUUGAAAUUUGGAUAGUUUGGUGAGGGUAAACGAAAAUUUGUUAACCCUCUCAUGUUGCUUUCACAUAAUUGCUCAAAACCAAAACGAAAACGGGUGGGUACUAAUUGAGUUUUUGGGCUUUAAAAAGGCAGUUUUGGGUGGACCUCAUUUCCACCUCAAGCUUUAAAUUUAGCUCCAAUUCUACCUUUAUUUUUGUCAGAAAAAACCACUCACUUUCACUUUAGUUCCAAAUCCACCCCUGUUAGUCAUCCAUGCAAAAUCUCCAUUAGUUGUCUAACGUGACAUUUUCAUGUCAAUAAUGAAUUUAUGUCAUAUGCCUAUGUGGAUUUUACUUCAUUGUUCAUCAUGCUUAUUUGCUUCUUCUUUGUUCCUUGCAACCUCCAUUAAUAAAGGUGCUUGAGCAUGGAGCCCAAAUCAUUCAUUUUGAGCAAAAUAGACAUCAUUUUUUUUUCGUAGAAAACAAAUGAUGACAUUUUCCUAAAAAUAAUUACUUACAUUGCCUGAAAUAAUUAAUCGAUGAAAAAUAUUUUUAUUAUCAAUAAUAACUUAUAUCUAAAUAUUUUCUGGCUGGUAAAUUUAUUUUUUGUUAAUCCAUUUUUGUAUACAAACAAUUAUUUUCAAAAAAAAAAUAUUUUUAAAAUCAUUUGUUUUCCACAAAACAAAUGGAACCUAACAUUUGGAAGACAAAUUCUCCCCUCUUUUUUCCCUCACUCAACUAGUAACGAAAUAUAUUAGCAAAACAUAAUUAUUAAAUUAUAAAUAAUAUUCGUGCACGGCGUAUGACUAUAAUUAAUAGACUAAUUAUAUGAUUUAGAUGAAUGGGAAACAAAGCCAGAGAUUCAAGUCCAGUUCCUAUGUAUAAAACAAACAGGACCUGAAAGUUCCCUGUCACUCACCUCAUUGUUCAUCAAGUUUCUCUCCUUUUGCUUUGAUCAACAGGUAAAAAAUUUCCUCUCUGAAAUAGAGGCCGUCCUCACCGUGUUUGGACAGAGAGAGAGGCUGAAUAGACCUGCCCGACGGUUCAAGUUGAAUCACUUUGCAAUAUGCACGGUCUACAGUUAGACUCGCAAGCAGAUCCGAAAACGUUCGGGAGGUAGACUUCAGAAUAGAAUGUCUCCAUUUACUAAACCAUGAAUGUCACAAGCAAUGAAGAAAACUUUCAAAAUGGGCAACUUCCAUAUGGUACACCGGCCUUUGUAAGUGCUUCACACGAGUACCAGCGUGCUAUUCAUCUGCACAUGAAAGGUUGUGAGAAGCUUCAGCACGUGCUUCUUCCAGUUUCAUCACGAGUUCUCUCACAAACUCUGUAUUC